rnacentral:misc_RNA from 1 species
CCGUUGUGUGAUGUGAUUUAGGAUUUAAGUUUGCUGGCAGACCCUAGCUUCUUAUCAUUCCAGGACUCAAUCAAUUGAGAUGAGGUUGAUAGGACGCUGGGCUCACUGCAAUUCGCAAGAAUUGCAGAGAUGUUCAGCAGAACCUUGACAACUGCAUAGGUAAGUCUGGAAAGAAUAAAGCAUCUCAUGGAUGCAUGAUUCUUGGGAAUCAGCUGAUGCAAUCUGCGCGAGCAGAGAGCUGAGGUUGAUCAACGAGAAUGAUGUUUGAUUCUUGAGUCAAGAGCCGAGACUCUAUAGCGUUCUUUCGAUGUCAUCGAGUCAUCGAGAGUUUGAUUGGUGAUUCAAACCAUCUUCAAUGACAAACAAUUCAGUUUAACU